AGUGAACGCUGGCGGUAGGCCUAACACAUGCAAGUCGAACGGCAGCACAGUAAGAGCUUGCUCUUACGGGUGGCGAGUGGCGGACGGGUGAUGAAUACAUCGGAAUCUACUUUUUCGUGGGGGAUAACGUAGGGAAACUUACGCUAAUACCGCAUACGACCUACGGGUGAAAGCAGGGGAUCUUCGGACCUUGCGCGAUUGAAUGAGCCGAUGUCGGAUUAGCUAGUUGGCGGGGUAAAGGCCCACCAAGGCGACGAUCCGUAGCUGGUCUGAGAGGAUGAGCAGCCACACUGGAACUGAGACACGGUCCAGACUCCUACGGGAGGCAGCAGUGGGGAAUAUUGGACAAUGGGCGCAAGCCUGAUCCAGCCAUACCGCGUGGGUGAAGAAGGCCUUCGGGUUGUAAAGCCCUUUUGUUGGGAAAGAAAAGCAGCAGGUUAAUACCCCGCUGUUCUGACGGUACCCAAAGAAUAAGCACCGGCUAACUUCGUG
rnacentral:rRNA from 1 species